GGGAAGAUACCAAAGCGGCUAACUGGGACAGACUGUAAAUCUGUUGCGCAUCGCGCUUCGAUGGUUCGAAUCCAUCUCUUCCCA
rnacentral:tRNA from 1 species